UACCAUGCUGAAUAUACCGGUUCUCGUUAGAUCACCGAAGUUAAGCAUCAUUGGGCGCGGUCAGUACUUGGGUGGGUGACCACCUGGGAACACUGCGUGCCGU
rnacentral:rRNA from 1 species